GGCGCCACCUCCAUCUCCAGCAGCGCCUGCUGUUGCGCCUGCAUCUCACGGCGUGCCUGCUCCAGGAUGCUCUUGAUGGCGUCCUCCGAGACCCUGAAUAUAAGACUACUGGCUGGCCCAUGGAGAGCAAACGUUUUCCUCUGCUGCGAUGCUGUCUUUGACAUUGCCCUGGUGCCUGCUUCCGACCCCCAGGAGAAAGUGCUGUAUAAAGAGGUUCACCUAAUUAACACCCACUGGACUGCAAACUCGACAAGGCAAGGCCAGACUGCAUGUUUUUGCACUCCCUUCCACCCCUACCCUGCUGGAAUUCUUCUACCUACCAUGAAGUAUGACCCACAGUCCAACCCAACAAAGAUCUGCUGAUGGAAGAAACGGGGCAAUGCCUGUACAUGGGGCCUUCAGGUCCGGCUGGAACAAGGCGGCUUCCCUGUUUUACUCUGCUGUGGCCUGUUUGUUUAGGUGGCAGGGGCUUGGACAAUGGGCGUCCAUGCCGAGAUACAAUGGAGCUGUCAAUUAAGAUGCCCCGCCUUCCCCUGGCAGAGGGUCAGAUGCUCUGCCCUGGGAAUUUGAAUGAAUCCCUCAGCCGGCCCAGCUACUCACUGCUCUGGUCCCAUCUGACCCAGGUGGUCUCACCAUUCUCCCCCACCUUCUGCCUUCUAAUAAAUUCCUUUCGUGCCUGA